GACGAACGCUGGCGGCAUGCCUAAUACAUGCAAGUCGAGCGAACAGAUGAAGUGCUUGCACUUCUGACGUUAGCGGCGAACGGGUGAGUAACACGUAAGGAAUCUACCUAUAAGCGGGGGAUAACAUUCGGAAACGGGUGCUAAUACCGCAUAAUAUCUUCUUCCGCAUGGAAGAAGAUUGAAAGACGGCUCUGCUGUCACUUAUAGAUGACCUUGCGGUGCAUUAGUUAGUUGGGGGGGUAAUGGCCUACCAAGACGAUGAUGCAUAGCCGACCUGAGAGGGUGAUCGGCCACAUUGGGACUGAGAGACGGCCCAAACUCCUACGGGAGGCAGCAGUAGGGAAUCUUCGGCAAUGGGCGAAAGCCUGACGGAGCAAUGCCGCGUGAGUGAAGAAGGCCUUCGGGUCGUAAAACUCUGUUAUAAGAGAAGAACAAAUUGUAGAGUAACUGCUACAGUCUUGACGGUAUCUUAUCAGAAAGCCACGGCUAACUACGUGCCAGCCGCCGCAGUAA
rnacentral:rRNA from 1 species